GAUUCUCAGGUGUGUAAAAGUGAACUUAAAUCUAUACUAUGAUUAAUUUUAAUGGUGCAAACCUUGUGAAACAUAUUUGUUGCUACUAUUUUUGUGAUUUAUCUCUUCCAGUCCAGUGGACCAUCCAACCAUAAUUUAGUUGAAUUAGGAAUGAUGCAUAUAAUUUCUGAAUGCUAGAAGGUUUGUCUUGUUUUUCUUGUUUUUCUUUGUAGUUUUAUACUCUCAUUGAUCUCAGGGAAUAUGAAUGUAUCAGGUGUAGCUGCAUGUUUGUAUAUUAGAUUUGUAUAAUCUGCAUAUCUUGGAACACAAGGACAUGGCUGUAUUUUCUGAGUUUUGUACUUGUCUCUACUUCAACCUUGUAGUCAGAUU
rnacentral:misc_RNA from 1 species